rnacentral:rRNA from 1 species
AAGUCCCGCAAGGGAUCGGUAGAGUGGCAAACGGGUGAGUAACACGUGGGUGACCUGCCUUCGAGUGGGGGAUAACGUCCCGAAAGGGACGCUAAUACCGCAUGACAUCCUGCCUUUGAACAGGUGGAGAUCAAAGCUGGGGAUCGCAAGACCUAGCGCUUGAAGAGGGGCCCGCGUCUGAUUAGCUAGUUGGUGAGGUAACGGCUCACCAAGGCAACGAUCAGUAUCCGGCCUGAGAGGGCGGACGGACACACUGGGACUGAGACACGGCCCAGACUCCUACGGGAGGCAGCAGUGGGGAAUUGUUCGCAAUGGGCGCAAGCCUGACGACGCAACGCCGCGUGGAGGAUGAAGACCUUCGGG